rnacentral:rRNA from 1 species
ACCUGGUUGAUCCUGCCAGUUGUCAUAUGCUUGUCUAAAAGAUUAAGCCAUGCAAGUGUAAGUAUAAAUAGACAAAUUAUUGUACUAUGAGACUGCGAAUGGCUCAUUAAAUCAGCAAUCAUUUAUUCGGUGGAUGAAGUAAUUCUAAAAUGGAUAACCGUGGGAAAUCUAGAGCUAAUACAUGCAAAAGAGAAUUCUUUUGAAAAAAGGAAUGCAUAUAUUAGAUACAAAUCCAAAAAUACAAAGGUGAAUCAUAAUAUUUAUAGCAAAUCAUAUAGAAAAAAUUUAUUUUUUUUUGAUGAUAAACCGAUCAAAUUUCUGCCCUAUCAUACUUUGGACGGUAAUGUAGUGGAUUACGGUGGUGAUGACGGGUAACGGAGAAUUAGGGUUUGAUUCCGGAGAGGGAGCAUGAGAAAUGGCUACCACUUCCAAGGAAGGCAGCAGGCGCGUAAAUUACCCAAUCCUAAAACAGGGAGGUAGUGACGAUAAAUAACAAUGAUUCAAUGAUAACAAAGUUGAAUUAAUUGGAAUGAGAACAAUAUAAAUCCCUUAUCGAGUAACAAUUUCAGGGCAAGUUCUGGUGCCAGCAGCCGCGGUAAUUCCAGCUGAAAAAGCGUAUACGAAUAUUGUUGCAGUUAAAACGCUCGUAGUUGGAAUAAAAUAUGGUAUUGUAUUUUUUUUAUUUUAAAACGGUAAAAAAGUAUAGAAUAUCAUUUUUUUAAUUUUAUAUAUAAAAAGUAAUUUUUAUAUAUAUAUUUUACUUUGAAUAAAUUAGAGUGCUUUAAGCAGAUUAAAAUAUUAUUUUUAAUAUUUUUUUUGAUGUUUGAAUAAUUUAGCAUAGAAUAAAAUAAUAAGAUUUGAAAGAUAAGAUUUGGUAAUUAUGUAGCAAAUAAUGAUAAAUAGGAAUAGUUGGGGGUAUUUGUAUUGAAUAGUCAGAGGUGAAAUUCAAGGAUUUGUUCAAGACAAACAUCAGCGAAAGCAUUUACCAAAGAUAUUUCCAUUAAUCAAGAACGAAAGUUAGGGGAUCGAAGAUGAUCAGAUACCGUCGUAGUCCUAACCAUAAACAAUACCAACCAAAGAUAAGAGGUUGUAAAUACAAGAGAGAAAAAGUGAUUUUUUUUCUCUUGAACCAACUCCUUUUGAAUUUUAGAGGGAAACCAUUGAGUAUUUGGGUUCUGGGGGGAGUACGGUAGCAAGGCUGAAACUUGAAGGAAUUGACGGAAGGGCACCACCAGGUGUGGAACCUGCGGCUUAAUUCGACUCAACACGGGAAAACUUACCAGGUCCGGACACAGGAAGGAUUGACAGAUUGAUAGCUCUUUCUUAAUUUCUGUGGGUGGUGGUGCAUGGCCGUUCUUAGUUCGUGGAACUGAUCUGUCAGCUUAAUUGCGUUAACGAACGAGACCUUUAAUUAUUAAUUAGUUAAAUAUAUAGCAAUAUAUACUUUAAAAACAAAGAGUUUUAUCUCUUUUUUUUCAUGACUUCUUAAAAUAACAAUUGGUGAUUAACCAAAGUAAGUUAAAGGCAAUAACAGGUCUGUGAUGCCCUUUAGAUGUUCUGGGCUGCACGCGCGUUACACUGAAAAUAUCAAUAAGUUUUUAUAUAUCAAAACACAUUAUUAUAAUUUGUUUUGAUAUGUCCUUGAUUGAAAAAUUUGGGUAAACUUGAUAACUAUUUUCGUGAUGGGGAUUGAUAAUUGUAAUUAUUUAUCAUGAACGAGGAAUACCUAGUAAACGCAAGUCAUUAACUUGCAUUGAUUACGUCCCUGCCCUUUGUACACACCGCCCGUCGCUCCUACCGAUGAAAAGUCCGAUGAAAUAUUGGGAGAUCGUGGGCACCCAGUGCACAUAUCAAACAUUAUUAAAUCUUAUUUUUUAGAGGAAGGAGAAGUCGUAACAAGGUAUCCGUAGGUGAACCUGCGGAAG